UACAGAGGUGGCAAGCGUUGUUCGGAAUUACUGGGCGUAAAGGGCGCGUAGGCGGUCAGGUCAGUCCCGUGUGAAAUCCCUCGGCUCAACUGAGGAACUGCACGGGAAACUGCCUGGCUUGAGUUCGGGAGAGGGAAGCGGAAUUCCGGGUGUAGCGGUGAAAUGCGUAGAUAUCCGGAGGAACACCGAUGGCGAAGGCAGCCUCCUGGGCCAGCACUGACGCUCAUGCACGAAAGCGUGGGGAGCAAACAGG
rnacentral:rRNA from 1 species